CAAUCCUCCUGGGUUCAGAGAUGGAACUUGGGUUAAAUGCAUGGAAUUUAUUCUUAGUCCUUUUCUUAAUUACGACUUUUUAUUUCUCUGGUGUUCUCUAGGGGAGGGGUUAGAGAAGAGAGGAAAAGGAAGAAAGAAAGGGGGCAGGGAAAUAUAGAUUCAAUGCUUUUGUUUUGUUUCUGGGCUGCUUGCUAUCAGCAAAGUAGAGAGAUUUAACGGAUCUUGCCGAGAAUGCAAGCCUCAUUCCAAGGAAGCCAGAGCUCAGAAGACAUGGAACAAAUACAAUGAAAACAUAACUUGAGGUCGGAAAAUGUCCCCUGAAUAUUUAUGUCAAUGUCCUACCUUAGUGAAUAUUACUUAAUACUGUGGCUCCUUUAAAGCAUUUAGCACAUUUGUACCAUGAAGAUACUGAGGCUGCCAUCAUGCUCUGUUAUUCUAAGAGAAAGAUCAACAGCAACAACAACAAUAAUAAUUUAAAAAGCAGAGGAAGAAAGUAAUCCAAGAAGACAGACGCAGAGCCUCUAAGAUCAUGAAGGAUGAUUAAAAGAACAAGUUGGGGAUGAAAAUGGGGAAUCAGAAAGCUUAUCAUCAGAGGCUGCAUGUAAGCACUGCUUUUCCAUCAACCUACCCUAGAUGGCUGGGAGAUGUGAUUUUACCAAUGUGAUUUCAUUAUGAAGUCAGAUGGAAUGAGGAGUGUGUAAAUCCAGAAUCAGAAUCCCAGCGACGAAGCUUUUCUUGCUCUGUUACCUUGGAAAAUGCUUUGAACCAGACCAGAUAAGAAAAGUAAAAGUCUGGAGUGUAAUCCUUCCAAUUGUCUUUUGGCUUCUCUUCUACUUCUACAAAAAGUUCAACAAAAAUUAGAAUUUGAAACAACGGAAAGAGAGAAAUUUUAGGUUAGUAGCUAAAUCCCCAAGGAUACUAAUUAGAGAAAGAUGUUGGAAUUGCCUUAAUGAGUCACUGCCAACGCAAGUCCUAAGGAAGCAAAGACUGUGAGUAAGCAAAGGUAGCCAGCUGCUGGGAAGAGGACAAUAGAGGAAAAGGUCAGAGGGACUUUAAAAGACUGACUGUGGGCUCCCUGAGGGAAGGAGGGAUGGAGAGAGUAUCGGGUCCUAUAGAAUACCUUAAUUGUUUUUAUGACUUCUCUUUUCCAUAUCCAGUUCACAUGUACUCCUUUCUGUGCAUUAAAUUGAGUUUCUAUUGGCUUCUUUGUAACAAAAAGAACUGAACAGAAACACAUAUCUAUUGGACAAAGAGCAAUAAAAUGAUAUAAUAACUGUAUCUGAGGGUUUUUUCAUUUUAAAGAAUAAAACAAAACAAAAAUCAAACAAAAAAAACCAUCUAUCUGAUGUUGCUCCACUCCCAACAGCAUCACUAACCGGUAUGUACCCAGCUUCAGCUAAAUAUCCCUAAAACACCUCUUACUUUCCAAGGCAAAGUCUCCCACUGUUGAGUCGUGUUGACUGAUAAAAAGUUCCCUCUGGGGUAAAAAAAUGAAAUUAGUUUUACCUAUCCUGGGGUCACCUCCAAAUACAUAUGCCUGUAAUGUAUUUCAAUUAGAAUACAUUACACACUCCCUGUCACCUUCACUAGGAGAAAAUCAGCAAAGUCAACCAGCAUUUUUAGUUGUCACAACUAAAAGGUACUCCUAGCAUCUGGUAGGCGGAGGCCAGGGAUGCUGCUAAACAUCCUACAAUGGACAGGACAGCCUCUCACAACAAAGAAUUUCCAGCCCAAAAUGUCAACUUUGCCAAAGUAGAAAAGCCCUGUACUAAAGGAGACCUUCCAUAUAAUAGACGGAACCCCCUCUUAGAAGAGAGGCCUUAGAAAUGCUAUGGUUUUGGAGCUUUUCUAUUGAGCCCCUCAUAUUUUCCAUCAACAGCAAGGCCCAGGUAUUAAUUAUAUGGUCUUAUUCUGUGACCUGGUUUGUCAUUCCUGAAAUAGCUAAAAGUAAAACAGAUGUCAUUUCAAUAUCAAGAAGCAGUGGAACAGAAAGUGCCAAGGAGCAGGUGUAUCAGAUACUCAGAGGUGGUAAAGUCAUGGCUGUCCAUGCUUUGGAGCUAGGGCAUCUACAAUGCAAAGGAAGAUUUUAAAUGUGAAUUUUGUGUUCUGGUCUAUGAGUAGAUGAUUCACGACACUAGUUUGAAAAUGCCUGAGUAAUAACUUGACUUUGUUUCUGCACUGGACAUCUGUUGUUUUUGUUCACUGGCAUCACUUCCCUUUUCUUUUUUUCUUUCUUUUUUUUUUUCUUUUUUUUUUUUUUUUUUUUUUUUGAGACACAGUCUUGCUCUGUCCCCCAGGCUGGAGUGCAAUGGCAUGAUCUCGGCUCACUGCAACCUCCACCUCCCAGGUUCUAGCGAUUCUCCUGCCUCAGCCUCCUGAGUAGCUGGGAAUGCAUGCGCAUGCCACCACGUCUGGCCAAUUUUAUUUUAACUAGAGACAGGGUUUCAUCAUGUUGGCCAAGCUGGUCUCGAACUCCCGACCUCAGGUGAUUCCUCUGCCUCAGCCUCCCAAAGUGCUGGGAUUACAGGCAUGAGCCACCAUUCCCGGCUCCCUUCCCUUUUCUUAUGGGAACAGCAUUGAAUUUUCCUUUGAGAAAAUACCUCUCCCUAUAGGGGUAGUUCCUACAAAGUUUCGAUGGAAUUAUGUCAGAGGCUCUUAUACUUUCACACCAUGGCUUGGCAAGUAUCUCAAUCUAGGCCAAUCAGUCUUUGUUUCCUUAGGAUAUACAUCUUGAGUGAAGUAAUGCGUGAAUGGGAAACAUUUAAAGCUGAUUCAUGUGAAUUGGGAUAGUUCCUGAACAGAAUGCCUACGGUUCUUUCUAU
rnacentral:lncRNA from 10 species